AGUGAACGCUGGCGGUAGGCCUAACACAUGCAAGUCGAACGGCAGCACAGUAAGAGCUUGCUCUUACGGGUGGCGAGUGGCGGGCGGGUGAGGAAUACAACGGACUCUACUUUUUCGUGGGGGUUAAGGUAAGGAGACUUACGAUAAUAUCGCAUACGACCUACGGGUGAAAGGAGGGGAACUUUGGACCUUGCGCGGUUGAAUGAGCCGAUGUGGGAUUGGCUAGUUGGGGGGGUAAAUGCCCACCCAGGCGGGGAUCCGUAGCUGGUCUGUGUGGAUGGUCAGCCACACUGGAGCUGAGACACGGACCAGAGUCCUACGGGAGGCAGCAGUGGGGAACAGUGGACAACGGGCGCAAGCCUUGUCCAGCCAUACCGCGUGGGUGAAGAAGGCCUUCGGGGUGUAAAGCCCGUUUUCUGGGAAAGAAAAGCUGCAGGCUAAUACCCCGCUGGUCUGACGGUACCCAAUGAAUAAGCACCGGCUAACUUCGUG
rnacentral:rRNA from 1 species